rnacentral:rRNA from 1 species
GAUGAACGCUGGCGGCGUGCUUAACACAUGCAAGUCGAACGAUGAAGCCCAGCUUGCUGGGUGGAUUAGUGGCGAACGGGUGAGUAACACGUGAGUAACCUGCCCUUAACUCUGGGAUAAGCCUGGGUAACUGGGUCUAAUACCGGAUAGGAGCGCCUACCGCAUGGUGGGUGUUGGAAAGAUUUAUCGGUUUUGGAUGGACUCGCGGCCUAUCAGCUUGUUGGUGAGGUAAUGGCUCACCAAGGCGACGACGGGUAGCCGGCCUGAGAGGGUGACCGGCCACACUGGGGCUGAGACACGGCCCAGACUCCUACGGGAGGCAGCAGUGGGGAAUAUUGCACAAUGGGCGAAAGCCUGAUGCAGCGACGCCGCGUGAGGGAUGACGGCCUUCGGGUUGUAAACCUCUUUCAGUAGGGAAGAAGCGAAAGUGACGGUACCUGCAGAAGAAGCACCGGCUAACUACGUG